UGGUUUGUCGCGUUGUUCGUGAAAUCUCACAACUCAAUUGUGAGCGUGCGGGCGAUACGGGCAGACUGGAGUACUGCAGGGGAGACUGGAAUUCCUGGUGUAGCGGUGGAAUGCGCAGAUAUCAGGAGGAACACCGGUGGCGAAGGCGGGUCUCUGGGCAGUAACUGACGCUGAGGAGCGAAAGCGUGGGGAGCGAACAGGAUUAGAUACCCUGGUAGUCCACGCCGUAAACGGUGGGUACUAGGUGUGGGUUUCCUUCCUUGGGAUCCGUGCCGUAGCUAACGCAUUAAGUACCCCGCCUGGGGAGUACGGCCGCAAGGCUAAAACUCAAAGAAAUUGACGGGGGCCCGCACAAGCGGCGGAGCAUGUGGAUUAAUUCGAUGCAACGCGAAGAACCUUACCUGGGUUUGACAUGCACAGGACGUGCCUAGAGAUAGGUAUUCCCUUGUGGCCUGUGUGCAGGUGGUGCAUGGCUGUCGUCAGCUCGUGUCGUGAGAUGUUGGGUUAAGUCCCGCAACGAGCGCAACCCUUGUCUCAUGUUGCCAGCGGGUAAUGCCGGGGACUCGUGAGAGACUGCCGGGGUCAACUCGGAGGAAGGUGGGGAUGACGUCAAGUCAUCAUGCCCCUUAUGUCCAGGGCUUCACACAUGCUACAAUGGCUGGUACAAAGGGCUGCGAAGCCGUGAGGUGGAGCGAAUCCUUUAAAGCCGGUCUCAGUUCGGAUCGGGGUCUGCAACUCGACCCCCGUGAAGUUGGAGUC
rnacentral:rRNA from 1 species